CAGGAAACGCAGUUCCAUGUCGAGGGAAAGAGCUUUACUAUAACCAAUGGCUGAGUCUCCCUUACUUCAUGGGCACCUCCCUUGUCAAGAGGCUCCAACCGAGGCAGCUCACCCAGAUUUCCCACCAACUCCUGCUUCAGGAUUUGACAGCUCCAGGACACUUAUUCCACAGGGUGUGCCUGUGUCUCAUCGACCAACUCCCACUUCCCCCACUCUUGCCAGAGUAUAGCCUCUCAGGAAAACCAAAUGGGACAGAGAAUCUCCCCUGCUACACACCAGAGGACAAAUGCCUGUAAGGUAAGGCAUUUUCCUUCACCUGAAUGGCCUUGGCCAUCAACCCAGCCCUGUCUGUGGAUCCAGCCUUAUCUGAGCCCCUCCCCAGCUCGCCCUAUACCCCAGCCAGUCAAACAUCAUGUCCUUUGUUACCAGAGCAGGCCAUGCACUCAGCCUCUUCACCUUUGCACCUGCUGUUCCCCCCUCCUAGAAAGGCCUUUUUUCCUUAUCCUUCUGGCAAAUUUCUGCUCAUUUCUCAAGGUACAGCUCAAAGGUCCACUCUGGAAUGAAGCACUCACCUCCUGUUUUAGUCUGCUCAGGCUGCCCCGAUCAGAUCCCACAGACUGGGCGGCAUAAACAACAGACAUUUGCUUUUCACAACCCUGGAGGUUGGAAGUCCGAGAACAUGGAUGGGGUUCUGGUGAGGGCUCUCUUCCUGCCUUGCAAAUGGCCACCUUCUCUGUGUGUGCUCCCAUCGUCUUCCUCUUCUUAUAAGGUCACCAAUCGUAUCUGAUUGAAUCUCAUUUAACCUUAACUCCCUCCUAAAAGCCCUAUAUCCAAACACCAUCAUGUUGGGGAUUAGGGCUUCAGUUUUUGAAUUUUGAAGGGACACAAUUCAGUCCACUGUACCUCUCCAAAGACAGUGGCUUUUAUCAGGGCAGGAUGUCUCUUGAUCACAGCACAUCUACCCUUAAUCCCUACCCAUGUCUCUAAGGAAUGGGAUGAAUUCGUGGGUAAGGCCCUGCCCCUGCUGUUUUGGUGCCAAUUUCCUCUGUGAAGAGACCCUUUCUUCUCAGAUGACUCUAUGUACGACCUGUCUGUCUCCCUGCCUGUGUUGUGUACCCUCCGAGAGCAAGAGCCACUUCUCACUCAUCUGGGAACUCAGUAACUUGUCAGGGCAGGCCUGGGCAGGUGAAUUCUGGUUCCACUGUUGAAGUACCUGCAGCCCUUGGGUAGGAGCCCUUCUUCCUGCCUCCCUCACCCACACACUCAGCAGACCCUUCCUUGUUGGAGAAGGCCUUAUUCCUAUGCUGCCCAAUCUUUUGGUCCUAAGAGAAUUCCCUCUCCCUGCCCAGGUGUCAUCUUUCUCUCUGUGUCUCUCUAUGCUAGGAAAGGGCCACUUUCUUCAAUGUUUUCUUUGUUCCUACACUGGGAAAAGACAUUAUUUUCAGCACUGUAGGAAAACUGAAAAUCCCUCUUGGCCUUUUGAAUUUCCCUCUAGGUCUCCUUCCACAGGUGCAUGGAAUAUUAAUGGGUCCGUUUCUGGCCCAGAGAGAGCACUCCUCAGCUUAUAGUAGGUUAUUUAUUUAAUAUAUCUGCUUUUUUGACUCCCUCAGUCCAAAAGCAUCAAACUAAAAAUAACUUGUUUAUGAGCUUUGGACCAAAAACGAAGUAGUUGAGCCAUUAAUCACUGGAACUCUAUUGAAUAGGAACUUGAUUAAAGCAUAGGAUGCAUUCCCCAGACAAAGCUGGUUCUGUGACCACAGUGUUAGCUCAGGCCUCCUCAGCCUCGUUUUUUUUUUUAGCUGCGCCUCCGGGCGGGUCGCUGCGCCUUGCCUGGCCUACGAAGGCCGCUGUGCGAGGGUCUUGACCCGCUCAGCAGCCGGGGGACCCUCAGAAAGGCGCACCUCCAAGGAGCACCCGCGGGAUGACAGGAAGCGGGCAUCGGGCAUCGUACCUUAGCUCAAGAUGCCGCAAGGAGCUAACAGGACAGAGGCAAAAGAGACUUGCGUGCUAGCGACACCCCAUCCGUCCCCCCCACACACACACACACACUCCACCCCCGCCGCCACGAUCCGUGUAGAGAAGGAGCGGGACGCCACGUGGCUGGGGAGACUGCCUACAAACUCCUUCUACCCGCAGCUAGGAGCGCGGAGAUGGGCGGUGCCCGAGGGGGCCGCGACGACCCUGAGGAUUCUAGGGUGCGAAGCACGCGGCAGAGUCCCCAGAGGGUGCUCUGACUCUGUGGCCCUGACUCCCUCCACACCCCAGCCCCGUCGUUGGCGCCCACCUGAAUGGGAACAGGGAAAGAAAGCGUGGCUUCGGGCCUCGAAGACUGCGGGCCUCGGGGUUCCAGUCCAGGAGUCAAGUUCUCCUCUCAGUGCACCACGACACCCCCACCCACCCGCACCCACCACUGCCACCGCGCCCCUGCGCUCGCCCGGUGUGUGCUGCUCGGGCAGCCCUGGGGACCCACCCGCCUGCCCCAAAGUCAAAAACUGGCGGCUCGGCACCGGGUAGUAGCACUUGCCUAGUGCGCCAAGCAACCCUCACUCUCCAGGCUGAAGAAGUAAUUAAAAAGAAAGUUUUCCAGCCGGGGCGGAUCAACCGGCCGGGUUCUACUGGAUCCCGGGCUGCGGACGCCUUCGCUCCUGCCGGGUCCUAGCGCCCUGCGCUGCUGAGCCCGUGGGACUCCAGAAUACGAGA